rnacentral:misc_RNA from 1 species
UCGAACCAGGGUCUGCGUCUC